GGGAGGGGGCGGCGGGCCGGAGGGAGCGGGGCGCGGGGAGCGGGGCGCGGGGAGCGGGGAGCGGGGUGCUCCUCCCGAAGGGCGCGGCUGGGACGAGCCGGCACGGGGCAGGUCGCUGAGGUUGGCAGCUGGAGCAGGGGCACUCCUGGAGCAGUGGCUGCAGGCACAGGACUGAGAAAGUGUCCAUCCCAGACGUGUGGAAAGCAACAGGUGGAUGCGGAGUUCCGUGUGAAGCGCUCGGCCGCUGUGCUGUCUCAGAGGAUGAGGAGGGAGAAGUGUCAGCCCCUGUCUCGCUUCUGUCGCACAGCUGGAGCGGGCAGGGCGCCUCGCAGCCAUGUUGGGUACGGGCAGCAGGAGCUCACCGUGCCCCUCCGUUUUCUGGGCAGGAAGUCCGUGGAAAUGUUACCGUAGCCAUCAUAACUGCGGGCAGGAACAGCCUGCUCCGUGUCCAUCUUGGGUAAGGGAAAGGGAGCUCUGCAGGGGACUGUCACUGUCACAUCUGUCCCCUGCAGAGCUGCUGUCUGUUUCAGGCGGAUGAAAUGCAGCUUACAUAGUUCAUGUGCAUACCUGAAAAACAUCUGGAUUUUGGCUUGAGUGUGUCAAAGUCUUAAUGACUUGAUGAAAAAAUGAGAUCUUUUGCUGAAGGAAGCCUGUCCUGAAUUCUGAGCUAACUGACUUAGAAAGAAAAACACCGAGCAGCAUUAUAGGCAACUCAGUGCCAGAUUUCUGCCUACGGAGCAAUGAUGGUCUAAAAGGCUUCCAAAAUAAUUAAUAUAUAUCAGACUGAGUUUUCAGUGCAGAGGUAUGAACCAGUUGCUUAGCAGGAGAUGCUGAUUCCAGAGAAGUUGUUACAUUUGAAAUGACUGAGGCAUGCUGUAUAGCAAAAGUCCUAUUUCUAGUGUAAAAAUUAAGAUGCAAACUGAUAAUGAAAUCAGAAUAAACAGAUAAGGAGAAACUUGAAGAUGCA
rnacentral:lncRNA from 1 species